CCUACGGGUGGCAGCAGUGAGGAAUAUUGGUCAAUGGCCGUAAGGCUGAACCAGCCAAGUCGCGGGAAGGAUGAAGGAUUUCUGGUUUGUAAACUCCUUUUAUAGGGGAAUAUAGGUAUUGACGUGAGGAUAUUUUCAUGUACUCUAUGAUUAAGCAUCGGCUAACUCCGUGCCAGCAGCCGCGGUAAUACGGAGGAUGCGAGCGUUAUCCGGAUUUAUUGGGUUUAAAGGGUGCGUAGGUUGUUUUUUAAGUCAGCGGUGAAAGUUUGUGGCUCAACCAUGAAAUUGCCGUUGAAACUGGAAGACUUGAGUGUGUUUGAGGUAGGCGGAAUGCGUGGUGUAGCGGUGAAAUGCGUAGAUAUCACGCAGAACUCCGAUGGCGAAGGCAGCUUACUAGGCCAUAACUGACGCUGAGGCACGAAAGCGUGGGGAGCAAACAGGAUUAGAUACCCGUGUAGUC
rnacentral:rRNA from 1 species